AUGUAUACAUAUAUACGUAUUAUUUAUAUAUAUAUAUAUAUAUAUAUAUAUAUAUAUAUAUACAUACACACAUAUAUAUAUAUAUAAAUUUCACGUACAUAAUCUAAAAAAACAUGGCAACAAUUAAUCAUGCUUAUGACUCAUAAACAUAAUAUACAUUAUACACUUUCGUUCGCGAUAUACAAGAUUCUUCUAUUACAUCAUUAUAAACUUGUUUCCUUUUAAGAAGGAGAAGCGUAGUAAGGAUAAUAAAAAAAAAAACAAUUCAUUCAAACUAUACUCUCACGCUCUGACUGUAUAUCGUAUCCAGCAAUAACACCCCUUCUUAAAGAAACAUCGCUGUUGCGUAAACCAUUACCAUUGAACAGAUUUACUAGCCAGCUUCUUAUAGAAUUUCGUGCGGAAGACUUUUUGUCUGGCACAUUGUCCGUACUGGGAGCAGGUACCACUUGAUCCAAAGAGCGCCAACGUUUCACCGGCAAUAUUUCUCCUAUACAACCACUCUCGUCACCCAUCAGUAAAGGAGUCUCCGCUUCGUUCGACGUUAUGUCGGUGUGAGGUAUGAUUAUCAUAUUGCCGUUCGGAUAAUUAUUGUUCAAAACUUUACCGGUAAGAUCGGUUUUCGAGUUGGUCCGUACGCACUUAUCACAAUUUUCCAAUGAUCGAAAACUCUUUUUCGGUUCCUUCCAACAAAAGUUCUCUUGUUCGAAUCUCUUUGCAUAGACCUCGAAUGGAAAAGGAUCUAACGAACGAGAUUCUUUUAUAACUACUUGAGAUGGAUAGUCGCUAGUAGUUGAGGAAGAUGCGAUGGUAGACAAUACUCUUUCAUUCUUUCGAAAUUUUGGCUUAGCAUCUAUGAAGAAAUCAUCGAGAGCGAGCUUGAUGUUAACGGCACGAUUUGCAGCUUCUUCCCGUAGUGGAACAUUUUCCAAUGUAGUCUUUGAUAAGCUAUCCGUUAAACAAAGUGGAGAUCGUUCCAAUUUCCGAACAUGAAGUGAUCUUGGUAUUGGACUCGAUCCACCGCAUUGUGAGGAGGAAUCGUCAGCAGCUGGACGUGGUACACUUGAUUGUCUUCGACUACCAGCACCUAAACCAGCUAAUAAUGAUGCCUGACGUGAAUCGGGAUUUAAUUUUGGACUUCUUCUUGGUCUGCAGAAAAGUGGUGGUAGAUCACCAACGUCCACCUGUAAAUAUAAAAUAUUUUUAAUAUGAGCUUCUUAUAAAUAUUUGAGUGAAAAAUGAUCGAAUUCUUUUUAUACCUCUCUUUUUUGUAUAGCUUUUUCCGUAACUCCUGUAAGCCAAUAAGUUUUCACUUCACCUUUUCCCUUCAUAUUCACCAAACCACGUUCCUCGAUAAUGUAACCACCUAUCUUAUCCAAAGCAUCCUUGCACUGACUACUUAUGUGAAUACGUAAUGGUUCACCGUUUGAUUCCAUUCUUGACGCAGUAUUCACCGUAUCGCCAAAUAAACAAUAUCUAGGCAUUGUUAAUCCUACUACACCUGCGACUACGGGGCCUGCAUUUUUAAAAAAUAUAUAUUAUAUUAUUUAAUUUACGUGAAUUCCAAUAGGAAGUAUUUAUUACUCGUUACACGUUUUAUUUUACCUGUGUGAAUUCCAAUACGAAGUUUAAGAGUUUCCUGAGGACGGUGAGCUAUCGUGUGAUGCUUAACAGCAUUAAGUAAUUCCAAGGACAUCGAUGCUAUUUCUCCAGCAUGUCGGUUUCCAUUUUUUAAAGGUAAUCCUGAUACCUAAUUAAAAGUAGUAAAUCAUGAAAUUGAGAUAUUUAUUAAUAAGUUUAAUAACUUAAUAUAUCGUACUUACAACCAUGUAGGCAUCUCCUAUAGUUUCUACUUUGUACACAUCGUAUCCUUUGAUUAUGCGAUCGAACAGAGUAUACAGAUCGUUGAGAAAGUUUACCACCUGAAGAAAGAAUGUAAAAUUUAUUAAUUACGAUAUAAGAUGAAAUUAAGAAUAGUUCAAUUAUUUUAUACGUACCUGGAACGGCGUACUUUCUGCCGACAUCGCUGUGAAACCAACGAUGUCGCUGAAAUAUAUGGUUACCAAAUCAAACGCUUCAGGUUCUACUCCUAUACCGUUUGUUAAACAAUUGGCAACCGGCCUGAAUAAAAUUAAACAAAAAAUGUAUGAGAAUAUGCAUUAAUCGUUUAAGUGCCAAACGGCGUGAUCACGUUUCUUUUGUCCUAUAUCCAAAAAUGCCAGCGAUCUAAGUUGCAAAGCCGAUAAUCACAACAAGCACGGUUUUUGUUGAUGGUUACCGUUCAGUCUUAUAUAAAUUAAAAUAAAAUUGGAGUAAUAUUACACUUUGUAGGUGUACACGUUUUUAUUCUUAUAAACAACCAUUACUAUAAUAAUAUAAUGAACUAAAUAAUAUAGAACAGACUAUAAAAAAUAAUAAUGAAAUAUAUGUUUAUAUUAAUGAGAAUUAUCACAUAUAAAUAGAAAAGAACGCAAUUCUGCUCCUUGGGAUUUUUGGAUGC